rnacentral:rRNA from 1 species
GAUGAACGCUGACAGCAUGCUUAACACAUGCAAGUCUACCUGAACGUCGGUUUGGUUGGCGGACGGGUGAGUAACGCGUAAAGAACUUGCCUCACAGUUAGGGACAACUUUUGGAAACGAAUGCUAAUACCUGAUAUGAUGAUUUUAGGGCAUCCUAGGAUUAUGAAAGCGAUCUGUGCUGUGAGAGAGCUUUGCGUGCCAUUAGCGAGUUGGAAAGGUAACGGCUCCCCAAGGCGAUGAUGGGUAGCCUACCGGGGAGGGUGGACGGCCACAAUGGGAGUGAGACACGCACCAGGGUACUACGGGAGGCAGAAGAAGGGAAUCUGCGGCAAUGGGCGGGAGCCUGACGGAGAAAGGCGGAGUGAGUGAUGAAGGUCUUGGGUGCGUAAAAAUGGGUUAUGAGGGAAGAACAGAUGUGUAAGUAACUAUGCACGUCUUGACGGUACCGAAUCAGAAAGCCACGGCUAACUACGUG